rnacentral:rRNA from 1 species
GGUAACGGCCCACCAAGACAACGAUGGAUAGGGGUUCUGAGAGGAAGGUCCCCCACAUUGGAACUGAGACACGGUCCAAACUCCUACGGGAGGCAGCAGUGAGGAAUAUUGGUCAAUGGACGAGAGUCUGAACCAGCCAAGUAGCGUGAAGGAUGACUGCCCUAUGGGUUGUAAACUUCUUUUAUAUGGGAAUAAAACGUUCCACGUGUGGGAUUUUGUAUGUACCAUAUGAAUAAGGAUCGGCUAACUCCGUGCCAGCAGCCGCGGUAAUACGGAGGAUCCGAGCGUUAUCCGGAUUUAUUGGGUUUAAAGGGAGCGUAGGUGGAUUGUUAAGUCAGUUGUGAAAGUUUGCGGCUCAACCGUAAAAUUGCAGUUGAAACUGGCAGUCUUGAGUACAGUAGAGGUGGGCGGAAUUCGUGGUGUAGCGGUGAAAUGCUUAGAUAUCACGAAGAACUCCGAUUGCGAAGGCAGCUCACUGGACUGCAACUGACACUGAGGCUCGAAAGUGUGGGUAUCAAACAGGAUUAGAUACCCUGGUAGUCCACACAGUAAACGAUGAAUACUCGCUGUUUGCGAUAUACUGCAAGCGGC